AAAAAACAACAACAAACCAUUCGUCCUGCAAACCCGACGAUCGAUUUUAAAGCCACCUUCGUUAAGGACAGGAGAGAAAAAGGAAAGUUUGAGGUUGGGUGAAACCUUUAUUUAAUCACUAAGAAGCUACAAGUAAGACGAGAUUCCGAGUUCCUUGUUUGUAACUUUUUAGGGAUCCGAUAGAGAACUUGCUCAGUCUGGGACGUCGUUGCUGUAAAUAGAUUAUACCGCAAUAUACAGAUAUAGGUAUAGGGACUUCAACCUCAUUCCUCCUGCAUCUGGCAUGAAAUCAGUCUUUGAGCCUUCGACAUUGCAGAAGUUAACCGUGCCAGAAUGGAUACAUCAAGUCUUCCGAUUCUUAACAAAGCCUUGGAUAUCUGAUACAGAGAUGCAUUGCUUCACACAGCCACAUGUAGACCAGGGGAUGUAUAGAACAUUGUACAUGGUCGACUACAAGCCCUAUGCGGAACAUCAUCAGUGGCGUCCCAUGAUGGACCCUUCACAGAGACUAAAACUGGAAGCCCAGCUGAAGGAGAAGGAGCUUGCAAGGCCUGUUCAGAAGAAACCGGUGAAAUAUGUUGAGGAGCCUGGCUGUCAAGAAGUUCAGCCACCUUAUCCUGUAGGAAUGGUUGGGAGGGCCUCAAAAGGCCUAGAAGCUCCACCGCCAAACCAACAAGCCCAAGAAGAACAAUGGAACCACUCCCUUCCUCUUGCUGAUCCAACUGCAAUUCAAGAAAAGGAAGCUGAGAGAUUAGCUCAGCUGGCAGAUGCUAUUGCUCUGACAGGUAAAGAGGCAUGGGACCCUUUCCCAUUCAGGCCCUUCAACCUUUCAUUCAUAUGUGGUUUGGAGUGGGAACAAGGAAACAAGUGUAGUGAAUGUAGCUGGCUGCUGUAUAGGGCGGGCCUGCUUGCAAAAUUU
rnacentral:lncRNA from 1 species